GUUUUUCAUUGGUAAAGACGUACAGGUGUAUGCAUGGAAAAUCCUUUGUUAGAAUGUGUAUUCGGGAUAUGGACAAUAUAAGUUGACAAUUCUUUUGUUAUGAGGUGAAUCAGCCUAGCCAUUUCAUUUCUACAGGAAAUGUAGAGUCAUUAGCUGAUUGCCAAUUAAAACCAACUGGUUGACCAAGAGUCAGCACAGCCAAGAGGGGAAAGACCCUUUGUUGUGGAGCUCAAAUCAGACAGAACCCAUCACCUUUGUACCAUUUGUUGGGUACACCAGAUUCAGAGCAAACAUUCCACCAGAUAGAGUGUGGGAGAAAAAUGUUGCAUCUGGUCAUGGUACUGAGGCAACAGCUGUGUGUGAAUUACUCCAUGACAUCUGCUACAAAACAAGGUUGUGAGCAAUGUCUGC